rnacentral:rRNA from 1 species
UAGGGAAUCUUCCACAAUGGACGCAAGUCUGAUGGAGCAACGCCGCGUGAGUGAAGAAGGUUUUCGGACCGUAAAGCUCUGUUGUUGGUGAAGAAGGAUAGAGGUAGUAACUGGCCUUUAUUUGACGGUAAUCAACCAGAAAGUCGCGGCUAACUACGUGCCAGCAGCCGCGGUAAUACGUAGGUGGCAAGCGUUGUCCGGAUUUAUUGGGCGUAAAGCGAGCGCAGGCGGAAGAAUAAGUCUGAUGUGAAAGCCCUCGGCUUAACCGAGGAAUUGCAUCGGAAACUGUUUUUCUUGAGUGCAGAAGAGGAGAGUAGAACUCCAUGUGUAGCGGUGGAAUGCGUAGAUAUAUGGAAGAAUACCAGUGGCGAAGGCGGCUCUCUGGUCUGCAACUGACGCUGAGGCUCGAAAGCAUGGGUAGCGAACAGGAUUAGAUACCCUUGGUAGUCCAUGCCGUAAACGAUGAGUGCUAAGUGUUGGGAGGCUUCCGCCUCUCAGUGCUGCAGCUAACGCAUUAAGCACUCCGCCUGGGGGAGUACGACCGCAAGGUUGAAAC